UUUCCUUUCAGAACUCUCCCUGUGAUCACACUUGUAUAGCUUUAAAUAAACCUAGAUAGCUCUGCCAAUUCUAAUACAACCACAAUGAGAAGUUUGAUUUCUUCCACAAUUUGGUGCCAUGACUCGGAUAGAGAUGCCUGGAGUGAUCGGUUGAGAUACAGACCUUCUCCUCACUGAUGCCCCGGCACCAAACUAAGGAUAUGCAGUAUGUUCCCAAUAUGAUGUUAUAGAAAGCCAUCACUUGCCCAACAUGUAUUCAGCUCAAGUUGCUGAACUUGUGGCCCUUACCAGAAGAAGAAGAAGAAGAAAAAGAAGAAGAAAACUCCUGUGCUGACACCAUCCCCUGUCGUUCUUGGGACACUGGAAGAACAGAUCGUCUCUCUCUUCAAGGAUUGCGCUACGGACUGUGCCUGUCAGCUUUGCAGCCUGAGUACCUUGGACUGGUAAAAGCAACUCUCCCCAAUGAACCAGAUGAGCCAUGCCAUUCCAUCCUGCCUGGUGACUGGGUUCAUGUAAAAGUCCAUCAACGGAAGUCAUCGCUGGAACCCCGCUGGAAAGGCCCAUUCCAGGUACUCCUGACAACCAACACUACAAUAAAGUGUCAAGGACUCCAAACAUAGAUCCACGCUUCACACAUUAAGAAAACAUCAGCCCGUUAGACUUGGAGUCUCCUCCAUAUCAACCUUGUAAUCAGCCUCCACAGACUGGUAGUGAGCCUAGCACCUGCCAACAGGAGAGCUCAAGACCAGUAGUGAGCCAAGCGGCUACUGGCGAAGAGAAUUUGCCACUACAGAGCGAAGAGGAUUUGCCACUACAGAGCGAAGAAAAUGUACCCCAAUGACACCACUAUGCCCUUCGGGAAAGGAAAAAGGCCUCUACCUAGUUCCUAGUUCCCGAGGUGGGGUUGAUUAGUCGUGACUUGGGUACUUCUCAGUCUUUCCUUUUGGAUCAUCUUAUAUGAACUUAAAGACUCACCAGCUAAAAGAAACUUUGUAAGUCAGACUAGACUUCAAAACAGGUCAAAAAGAUCACUCCCACACUGGCAUGCUCACCAAAAUGCUUUUCUUCAACUGUCUUAUCAAUAUGCAAAGAAUUUAAAUGUUUCUAAAUGUUGGGUAUGUUCCCACUUGCCUCCUAGUACAAUGACAGGGGUACCCAUGAUUGCUUUAUCCCUUAAGUGGACCGACUUUUGUGAUAUGUAUGUUAAAAUAGUGAAAAGGUAAAAAGAAAGAAAAAUUAGAAGUUAAAAGGGUCAUGGCUAUAAAUAUCUAAUAUGUUGGGCCAAAAAGGCCCAAAAGGGGGGAAUGUGGAAAUAAGUUUAACCAGGCCUCUUACUUGACUAAGAAGAGAGAGAAAGAGAAGAGCAAAAGAUGAUAAUGCUGAUGUUUCAAAAUGUUCUAAGAUAAGAAAAAACCUUCGUGUCUUAUUUUGUCUUGAUAUAUUAAGCUCUGUGUGCAGAUUUUAACCUCCUCUUUUCCUCCGAAGCGGAAGCUGAUAACUGUUCCCAAAACACUGUGGUUUUUUCUAAAUAAGUAAACUGCUUGUGUGUGACAAACGAAUGAUCAACAUCUUUCUGUUUCUCUCAAGGUUGCUUUGUCUGAACCCUGCAUUUUUUCUCGCUGUCUAAAGUAUAAAUACGCUUGUAAACUUGUAGAGGUCAGAUUUCCUUUGAGAACUCUCCCUGUGAUCACACUUGUAUAGCUUUAAAUAAACCUAGAUGGCUCUGACAAUUCUAAUACAACCACAACGCAAAGUUUGAUUUCUUCCACACUUGCCACUAGAGGGCAGGCAAGCAGGGGCAUGGAUAGGAGCCAGGACAUCUGGGCUCUAUCCUUGCUCUGGGGACAUGGGGAAGGGAGGUGAGAGA